rnacentral:rRNA from 1 species
AGAGUUUGAUCAUGGCUCAGGACGAACGCUGGCGGCGUGCCUAACACAUGCAAGUCGAACGAGGUCCAUCCGGUGGCAACACUGGAGAAGACCUAGUGGCGAACGGGUGAGUAACACGUGAGCAACCUGCCCCGAAGAUUGGGAUAACCCCGGGAAACCGGAGCUAAUACCGAAUACCCCCACCGAGUCGCAUGGCCUGG